GACGAACGCUGGCGGCGUGCCUAAUACAUGCAAGUAGAACGCUGAAGAGAGGAGCUUACUCUUCUUGGAUGAGUUGCGAACGGGUGAGUAACGCGUAGGUAACCUGCCUUGUAGCGGGGGAUAACUAUUGGAAACGAUAGCUAAUACCGCAUAACAAUGGAUGACACAUGUCAUUUAUUUGAAAGGGGCAAUUGCUCCACUACAAGAUGGACCUGCGUUGUAUUAGCUAGUAGGUGAGGUAAUGGCUCACCUAGGCGACGAUACAUAGCCGACCUGAGAGGGUGAUCGGCCACACUGGGACUGAGACACGGCCCAGACUCCUACGGGAGGCAGCAGUAGGGAAUCGUCGGCAAUGGGGGCAACCCUGACCGAGCAACGCCGCGUGAGUGAAGAAGGUUUUCGGAUCGUAGAGCUCUGUUGUAAGUCAAGAACGGGUGUGAGAGUGGAAAGUUCACACUGUGACGGUAGCUUACCAGAAAGGGACGGCUAACUACGUG
rnacentral:rRNA from 1 species